GCUUGUCUCAAAGAUUAAGCCAUGCAUGUCUAAGUAUAAGCAAUUAUACAGCGAAACUGCGAAUGGCUCAUUAUACAAGUUAUCGUUUAUUUGAUAGUACCUUACUACAUGGAUAACCGUGGUAAUUCUAGAGCUAAUACAUGCUAAAAAUCCCGACUUCGGAAGGGAUGUAUUUAUUAGAUUAAAAACCAAUGCCCUUCGGGGCUAACAGGUGAUUCAUAAUAACUUCUCGAAUCGCAUGGCCUUGCGCCGGCGAUGGUUCAUUCAAAUUUCUUCCCUAUCAACUUUCGAUGUUUGGGUAGUGGCCAAACAUGGUGGCAACGGGUAACGGAGGGUUAGGGCUCGACCCCGGAGAAGGAGCCUGAGAAACGUAAGUUUGGCAGUCUAAUUUGAUCUCCUGAGGGUUAUUUGCUGACAUAUAUAUUCUAGGGCUACUACAUCCAAGGAAGGCAGCAGGCGCGCAAAUUACCCAAUGCUGACUCAGCGAGGUAGUGACGAUAAAUACUGAUACAGGGCUCUUUUGGGUCUUGUAAUCGGAAUGAGUACAAUUUAAAUCCCUUAACGAGGAACAAUUGGAGGGCAAGUCUGGUGGACGCUCAGUCCCGUGCUGGCGCCAGAUAGAGCGGCUGGGGCCGCUAGUCGAGCACCCGCACUACCGGCGGGUGGGUGCCGGCAAGACAACCUGGUUCGGGGGAGGCUACGGGCAGCUCCUGCCUAUGCUAAUCCCGAGGGGAGCUCCUUCCGUUGGAGCCCCUGUAGAGCGCGCAAAGGUGUCGGUCGCGGCUUCCGCGGCUUAAGGUACGUGCCAUCCCCCUCGAAAGAGGUGCCUUUUCUCCAAGCGCCCGCCGCGCGAAGAAUAAAGGGCUGUGUCCGCCCCUCGGGGGCCGAUGCGGUGGUUUCCAGCAGCGAACAUAUCUUUUCGAGCUGCGACUCAAUUCAAAAACUGGCCAGCAGCCGCGGUAAUUCCAGCUCCAAUAGCGUAUAUUAAAGUUGUUGUGGUUAAAAAGCUCGUAGUUGAACCUUGGGCCUGGCUGGCCGGUCCGCCUCACCGCGUGUACUGGUCCGGCCGGGCCUUUCCCUCUGUGGAACCCCAUGCCCUUAACUGGGUGUGGCGGGGAAACAGGACUUUUACUUUGAAAAAAUUAGAGUGCUCCAGGCAGGCCUAUGCUCGAAUACAUUAGCAUGGAAUAAUAAAAUAGGACGCGUGGUUCUAUUUUGUUGGUUUCUAGGACCGCCGUAAUGAUUAAUAGGGACAGUCGGGGGCAUCAGUAUUCAAUUGUCAGAGGUGAAAUUCUUGGAUUUAUUGAAGACUAACUACUGCGAAAGCAUUUGCCAAGGAUGUUUUCAUUAAUCAGGAACGAAAGUUAGGGGAUCGAAGACGAUCAGAUACCGUCGUAGUCUUAACCAUAAACUAUGCCGACUAGGGAUCGGGCGAUGUUACUUUUUGACUCGCUCGGCACCUUACGAGAAAUCAAAGUGCUUGGGCUCCAGGGGGAGGUAAGAAUCAAUCUUCAGUGGUCUUUUUUCUGAUGGGGCGUAUGCUAAC
rnacentral:rRNA from 1 species